rnacentral:rRNA from 1 species
GGCAAAAUGAGAGUCCAACUGUCUCUUAUAACAAAUCAAUUAAACUGAUCUCCCAGUACAAAAGCUGAGAUACCCCUAUAAGACCAGAAGACCCUGUGAAGCUUUAACUAACCUACUAAACCCUAUAAUAGCCAGUUUCGGUUGGGGCGACCUUGGAACAAAAAAGAACUUCCAAAAAUAUGACUCAUCAUAUAAAAGGCAGACAAGCCACAAUUAGACCCAGUAUCUGAUAAAUGAACUAAGUUACUCCAGGGAUAACAGCGCUAUCUUCUUCAAGAGCCCAUAUCAAAAAGAAGGUUUACGACCUCGAUGUUGGAUCAGGACAUCCUAGUAAUGCAACCGUUACUAAGGGUUCGUUUGUUCAACGAUUAAUAGUCCUACGUGA